rnacentral:lncRNA from 13 species
GCUCUCUUUCUGUGCCCUUGAAUCAGGCCUCACCACUCAGCAGGAGGCCAAUCAAAAUGAGCUCUAAAAACCACUCACAGUAACUUCUUGGCCUCUCUGAAGUCACUCCACCUGCUGUUCCUUUCUUGUGGUUCUGAUGUUUGUUUCCAUACCUCUUGGCCUUCUUGGCUUUGCUAUACAAUUCAGUGAGUUAUGGAUUGAAUUGCAUUCCCUUUCAAAAAAAAUAUGUUGAAGCCCUAACUCUCAGUACUUGUGAAUGUGAUCUUAUUUAGAAAUAGGGUUGUGGCAGGUGUAAUUAGUUCACAUGAGGUCAUGCCACAGUAGGACAGGUUCCGUACCUAAUAUGACUGCUGUCCUCAUCAGAAAAUGUCCAUGUGAAGACAUCCAUGUUAGAGACAUACGGGGAGAAUGCCACGUGAACACCGGAGGACGAACGUGAUGCAGCUACAAGCCAAAGGAUGCCAGACGUUUCCUGCAAACCACCAGAAUCUAGGAAGAGAUAUGAACAUCAAGUUCAGAGAGGUCGAGCAACUGGCCCCAAGCCAGGCAGUCAGUGAGCUGGUCGGUCAGCAUGAAACUGGGAUGGAAGCAGGUCUGUCUGACCUCCCAGUCUGUUCUCUUGGUACUGCAUUCUCUCUCUCAUAUGUGCCAGGAGCUCUCCCAGGUACAGAUGAAUACAAAAGCUAAUUUCGUUUCGGUAGAAUCACUCUUUCCUCCUAUGCCCUCUAUGGAACUUUGACAAUAUGAAAGAAAUGCAAGGUAAAUUUUACAUGAUCAUAGCCUAAUUAACAAAGACACCAGGUUUCUUAUUAAACAAUCGUAACUACUAUGUUAAAAGUCCCGAUUUUCUUCCAAGUAACAUCUGUUCCUCCACUACCCCCCUGUGACAACUGUCAACCAAAGGCUUAAAAUGUAGAAACAAUACUUUAAAAGACGAGGUCUGUAUAACAAGG